rnacentral:rRNA from 1 species
AGAGUUUGAUCCUGGCUCAGAACGAACGCUGGCGGCAUGCCUAACACAUGCAAGUCGAACGCCAUCCUCUGGAUGGAGUGGCGCACGGGUGAGUAACGCGUGGGAACCUGCCUUUUUCUGCGGGACAACGAUUGGAAACGAUCGCUAAUACCGCAUACGCCCUACGGGGGAAAGGUCCGCCGGAGAGAGAGGGGCCCGCGUUUGAUUAGCUAGUUGGUGAGGUAAUGGCUCACCAAGGCGACGAUCAAUAGCUGGUCUGAGAGGAUGAUCAGCCACACUGGGACUGAGACACGGCCCAGACUCCUACGGGAGGCAGCAGUGGGGAAUAUUGGACAAUGGGGGCAACCCUGAUCCAGCAAUGCCGCGUGUGUGAUGAAGGCCUUAGGGUUGUAAAGCACUUUCACUGGCGAAGAUGAUGACGGUAACCAGAGAAGAAGCCCCGGCUAACUUCGUGCCAGCAGCCGCGGUAAUACGAAGGGGGCGAGCGUUGUUCGGAAUUACUGGGCGUAAAGGGCGUGUAGGCGGCUCUUUAAGUUAGGCGUGAAAGCCCCGGGCUCAACCC